UACGAGGGGGGCAAGCGUUGUUCGGAUUUAUUGGGCGUAAAGGGUGCGUAGGCGGUUUGGCAAGUCUGAUGUGAAAUCUAUGGGCUCAACCCAUAGUCUGCAUCAGAAACUGCCGGGCUUGAGUAUGGGAGAGGUGAGUGGAAUUUCCGGUGUAGCGGUGAAAUGCGUAGAUAUCGGAAGGAACACCUGUGGCGAAAGCGGCUCACUGGACCAUAACUGACGCUGAUGCACGAAAGCUAGGGGAGCAAACAGGAUUAGAUACCCUGGUAGUCCUAGCCCUAAACGAUGAUUGUUUGAUGUGGCAGGUACCCAAUCCUGCCGUGUCGAAGCUAACGCGAUAAACAAUCCGCCUGGGGAGUACGGUCGCAAGGCUGAA
rnacentral:rRNA from 1 species